rnacentral:rRNA from 1 species
AUGAUAGAAGAUGAGUGUAUGGUGAAGGAAGCAGUGUUCAAUCGUGAAAUCAAGGCAUUAUUGCAAAUUCGGCAUCGAAACAUCAUAAAAUUAUUUGGGUAUUGUUGCUCUAGUCAAGGAAAGUUCCUUAUCUAUGAAUAUAUGGAUAGAGGAGACUUAGCAAAAACACUGAGGGCCAAUGGAAGGGCAGUCGAGUUGGACUGGGGAAGGCGGACACAUAUUGUGUUAGGCGUGGUCCAUGCUUUGGCAUACAUGCAUCAUGAUUGUUCGCCACCAAUAGUCCAUGGAGAUAUAACAAGCAAAAAUAUUUUGCUUGAUCUGGAAUUUAGAGCAUGCAUCUCUGACUUUGGCACGGCUAAAAUUCUUUGUGGUCAAAAUCUCACAAGGCUUGCUGGAACGAAAGGCUAUAUUGCCCCAGAGCUAGCAUAUAUAGAUCAUGUGACGGAGAAAUGUGAUGUAUAUAGCUUUGGAGUGCUUGUUCUAGAGAUAUUUAUGGGAUCCAAUCCAGGCGAUUCGCUCUCAUCUCUCUCCUUGGGCACCAAGAAUAAUGAUGUGUGUCUGCAGGAUCUGCUGGACUCGAGGCUUGUGCUCCCAGAUGCUGAAACCGCUAAAGAAAUAUAUUGCAUGCUCACUGUUGCAGUCUAG